AUUUUAAAUUGGUUGUAAACUUAAAAAAAAAAAAAAAAUUAUUAGAAAAUUUCGCUUUGUUCUCGUAAAAUAAAACAAGUAAAAAGAAAAAUAACGUCGGGAUGAUUUUUAUUUUUCUCCAGUCGGACUUUUACGUGGAAAAGAGUGGAGGCAUAAAUCAUUUUCAAUAUUUAAGAAACCGGAUCAAAUCUCGCAAGAGAAUAAUGUCUUUAUGUAGGUCAUAAGAGAAUGUGAAUAAUAAGAUGGCAUCGGUUUACAAGACGGCCAUUUAUAAACCGGUCUUUCCUGCAAGGUGUGACAUUCUGUCAUGUUUAUAAGGGCGUUGUCCGCUCGGCUUGUUUUCGGAAAUGGUACAGUUGGCAAUUUUUGGCUUCUUUCUUUUUUUUUUCUUCUCUCCUCUCUCUCCUCGACACGUCGUCGAAAAGUAAAUCCUUUUAAGGCAAUCGAUGGAAAUUUAUUGGUUUGAUGUAAGGUGAGAGAGUCGUUUAGCGAAAGAAAAACGAGCAAUUGCUUUCAACCUUUGACACCAGAUGGCGCCAGGUUGACAGUGUUCCGAUUGUUUAGUGUAGCGUAAUAGCUUAGAUAUGUCCUCCGAAUCAUGUAAUUUAGGAAGAUUGAAGAAGGCAGUUUGCCUGCUCGAGGUGAAUAAAACUCUCUCCUAAGCUCGGGUAUACGUCUCUAAACUAGUUUUAAAUCUUUAAUGGAAACAGUAAAGAACGUUAGUAGCAAGAAAAUCGAGCUUUUUUCUGAAAACUUUGACGCAUAAAAGAACCUACGUCUGAGUCGCCCUUUCUACUGAUAAAAAAUAUAUAUAUAUGCAGUAUAUAUAUAUUGUUAAAACAAACAAGAUUUCGCCACUUAAAAGAUUAAAUCCCGACUUUGGCAACUGUAAACACGAUUUGUCUGUGAAAUUCCCGAAAAGUGUUACGGAGAUAAGUUCCAUUAAUCCGUGAUAUAUGCAGAAACUUAAUCCUUCUAGUGGAAGUCGAUGAUGGCCACAGGUAUAUAACGACAAUUACUAUAAUUUCGAACUUGGAUAACCAGUACACGUAGCUAUGGCGUUAGAAUUCUUUAUAGGAUAGACACUCAGACAACAUGGCAAACAUUCGCAUCACGUUAAGCAGUGAUCCGUUCUUUGGACACUCCAAGAGCAGCAACAAGAACAAGCCAUUAACACUGUCUAUAACGUUGCAGGACACUGGGCGGUACGGAUUGCAUUGAUUGGAUGGCUGUUGACUGAAACAUUCGCUAUUUUCCCGACAGAAUACUGCUCAAUCGAUUAGAUACACCAUCUACUGCUAAACACGGCGAGCAAAUAGUAUAAAGCGCGUACGUUAGCCAAAUCUAUUGUGGAGAGCGUAUUAAAGGCUGUGCUGUAUGUCAACAGUUGGAUAAUGAUAUCAUUUUAAAACCUAGGUUUGACACUGUCAAAUAUAUCUAAACAAACCAAGCUUUUAUUAACAAAAUACGGUUAACUCUCCACGGAUCGAUUUCGAUUUUUGGCCGGCGAUAACGGCUUUAAGUAAUGCCAUUGUGUGUGUAACGCGUAGCAGUUACGUUUAAGAAUCCGUAAUUGGUAUCACUAUGGCAUUUAAAACGUCAAAAAUAGCUUUCUGGGAUUAAGGCGAUUAAAGAAGCUGCAUCAUCAAAACUGAUAGUUUUCCCACUUCUACACUAUUCUUGGAAGCAAAACUAAUGGAUCGGAAAGAUAUCUGAAACUUUAAUCUGGAACCAGAAAAUUAACCGUCACUAUUAAAUUUGUAGUUCGUUCUUAAUUGCAUUUAGAUUCAACGGCUUUACUAACGCCAACUCGAUUUAACCGUUAGCCUUUAGCUGAAAGACAACAACAGAAUGGGGUUGUUUUUCCCCCCAUUCAACACUUUCCUAUCAUCCUAAUUGACACGAAACCUCAUCCGAGCACGUCUUGCACGUUUAGUCAGCCAGUGUGCAGCGGACUAUGUUCACAAUCAUGCAAUUACCGGAAAUGUUUCGCCGAAACAGAAAAUAAAAAAAGAAACGGAUAUUGAUACAGAGUCACGUUCGACCCAUUCCGUCACUCGUAAAGCACUUUCUCUUAGGGUGUGGCGAAAUUUUCAUCUCUUUUUUUGUCUUUUUCUCGUUGACAGCUAUCCGGUUCGUGAGUUUAAAAAUGAAACAUUCAAAAUAAACACCUGUUAUUCCCCAUUCACUUUAACCAAAUUGCCUAUGGGAUAAAUAGUUUAUUUUUACGUUUACACUUUAAAAAAAAAAAUGCGUUAAAUCGCAUAAAUCGCGUAAACGUCUUCGGGAUAUCUAAAUCUGCAACUACACAGUUACACAUAGCAUUUCUUACACGUAAACAAUAUAUAUAUAAAAAUUAAAUCAAAUAUUUGCCGGUAUUGUGGAACUUUAUCCGAAAUAAAAAAGAUUGCCGGUAUUAAGGAACUUUUUUCCGAAAUAAAAAAGAUUUCCGGUAUUGUGGAACCUUUUUCCGAAAUAAAAAGAUUACCGAUUAAUGAAUUUACCAGAGAUUAUUAUUCUUUGCAUGUUUGGCAUUAAAAUAACUUUUUUUUUUUACGGCUUCCUAACUUGUGGAUUUUAUUCUAUAAAAAUCUAUUUACUCGCGGAAUAUAAAAUUUUAUAGAUUCAUCUGUAAUGAUUUCAAUUCUGGAUUCCCCAGACACUAUUAAUAUCGCAGCCAACACGGAAACUUGGCAAAUGGCCCAGUUCGUCAACACAUAUAUAUAUUUUUUAUUAUUUUUUAGGUGGUUAAAUAUAUAUACAGUAUAUAUAUUUUUCGUCUUUAUACAUAAGCAAAAUAUCGAUGCAGGAACAACAAUUGUUUUAUUUAUCUUUCGUCUCUCGACCUGUCACCGUUGAUCGGGUAAUAUACGCUUAUACAUAUAUAUAUAUUUAUAUAUAUAUGUUUUUUUUCCCCGAUAUAGCUAUCGCGAC
rnacentral:lncRNA from 1 species